rfam:Picea glauca, whole genome shotgun sequence.
UCCUCAAUAACUCAGUGGUAGAGCGGUCAACUAUUAACUGAUUGGUCGUAGGUUCGAAUCCUAUUUUGGGAG